UUCUUCAGGGCAGGGUGUAAUUCCCGACCGGUGGUUAUAGUCCACGACCCUUAUUUAAAAAUAAGGCUGACUUGGUGAAAUUCCAAGACCGACAGUAUAGUCUGGAUGGGAGAAGAA
rnacentral:ncRNA from 1 species